GAUGUGCCCCUUCUUACAAAAUUGACACCUGUUCCUUUUCCUGGAUUUAUGGUCAUUUUAACCUUGCUUCAUUUGUUGGCACAUGUAUUUUUUCCUUCUUCAUUUGUUGACACCUGCAGUUUGUCUUUCUUCAUUUGUUUACGCGUAAGUUGAGGGAGCUGGUGCCGGAGCAAGCAAAAAGCCAUACCUCAAUUACAUGCCACAGCUUCCUUUAUUGCUCAAAUUCAGGCUGCCACCGUUUUCCUCCAUAGGAAAGAGAUUCGUGGGACCAUCGAAGGUUACAGAGGAUAUGGAUACUGAUCGUUAAAUUCAUUAACCACUGGCAUGAGAUCAAAGCAGCACCUCUAGCAAGGAAGAAUAGUUGGCAACUAACCAUCAUUAACCUUGGACUGAGCAGCUUCCAUUCUCACUUGUUAAAGGCCCGAGAUGGUUUUCCCUUUGCUGGUCUUAUUGAUUUACAAGGUGCUUUGAUAAAGAGGUGUUUGGGUCUAAAAACUCUUAAUCAAAGAAGAAAAUGUUUCACCAAAAGAAAAUCAAGGGUAUGUAAUCAUUUUGUGUUGGUGCCUAAUCAAUCUUGAUAUGAAAUAAAAGGGUACAAAAUUGGAAAUCGGUUGCUUCUCAUGAGACUGAAUAGUUAUUCUUGAAGGUUGAUGCUACUAUCUUCUAAAAGGUAUAUUACAUUAUUGAAGUUUUUAAUUUAUAUUUUUCUCUCAAUGAUUUCAUUUACAUCAUUGCAUUAUGAAGUGUUAAUCCCCUUCUUUUCCCUUUUUCUGAGCAUCUUCCUUUCAUUUUUGGUGAGUGGUUACAUGUAUAUAUUUAUGUACACUUCAUCUCAUUUUUUUUAACCAAUUGAUUGCUUGCAAUUAAGUUGAUGGUGCUUGCAUAGAACAAAAACAAGGAAAGAGUUAUUGCUGUCAACACUCAUGGUCAACAUGUUCUCUAUUAGGCUGAAGUGUAUCAGCACUAGAGCUUUUGUUUGCAUUUUCUUGGACAAGGGACUCCAAUAGGUGCUACUGGGCACCGUGCGCCACUACUUUGCUGAGUUGCCUCUCUCUGACAUUGACACUCGCACUUAUACAUCUUUGGGGCUCUGUAUGAGGAGUUAACUAGAAAAGUUGUCACUUUGGUGGCAGAGAAUGAAAACCUAAAGAGGGAGAAAGAAUUGGCUUUGAAAGAGUAUGAGUCUUUGGAGACUACAAAUAAGAACUUGAAGACACAGAUAGCCAAGUCAAUAAACACUGAAGUGGAGAAAACUCCUGUUGAGCCUGUGUCAUCUGUGGCUGAGAUAACACCUUCAUCCGGUAAUGGUCCAUGGUUCCUUUAUAACCUUUUUCCAGUUCCACAAAUAUUUUGGCCUUCCAUCCUUCAAUCUUCUAAUCCAAUUCAUCUACAAAAUACAUCAUUUAAUUCCAUCGCCAUUCCACCUAAUGCUAAUGUUUCAUGUUCUUCUGAGUCUGAAUCACAUCACAAGCAAAAUAACCUUAUAAAUGAUAAUCGAACUCGAGUAAUCACUUUUUAAAAUUUUAUUUUGAUCUAUCCUUUUGAUUUUUGAGGUUGUAAGUUUCUUUCUUUAGCUUAAUCACUAGAAGAAGAUAAGAAAGCUUUUGAAAUGACUGAGUCAAAAGAGGCAACAUUGCUUGAAGCAGAGAAGAUUUCCUGUCGUAAAUCUGAAGUGGAUUUCAAGUUCCUGUGUUUUUUGCUGGUUUCUCAAGUCAAGAAUUGGGAAGUAACACAUUCCUGUUUUUGGGAUUUAUUGUUCUUUAUUAUUAUUAUUAUUAUUAUUAUUAAGUCAUGUUUUAGGAAAUUGGACGAUCUGAUGGUGCAACUUCUCCAGCAGUUGAGGCUUUAACCUUCUCUCAUACUUACUGUUUGCUGCUAGCUUUAAUUCAAUUUAGUUGUCCACCAUUUUUUCCUGCAUUAUUUAAAUUCUACCCAUCUUAAUUCUUUGCUUUAUAUUUUUUAAGCAUUUAAUUUAAACCUGAUUCUUGCUCAGUUUCAGUUGGUGAUAUCUGAUUAUGCUACGAUUGACAGUGUAGUGUGCUUAUUAGAUAAAAGCAUUCUGAGUGCACAUGCUUUGAUGCAUUUGUUUUUUAUCUUUUCUAGACUCUAGAAUGUCAUGUCUCAUGAUAAUUGAGAUGAACUAAUUUUGAAUUUUGUCAUUAAGUUAGGCCAUUUUUUUUAUAUAAUCUUGGACUGCUUUGGUCGUUCAACUUCUUUGUAAGGAAAGAAAAGAAGAAUAGUUUCAAAUAUGUAGGUUUCCUGUUUUCGGGAUUUAUUGUUCUUUAUUAUUAUUAUUAUUAUUAUUAUUAUUAUUAUUAUUAUUAUUAUUAUUAUUAUUAUUAUUAAGUCAUGUUUUAGGAAAUUGUCGGAUAUGAUGGUGCAACUUCUCCAACAGUUGAGGCUUUAACCUUAUCUCAUACUUACUGUUUGCUGCUAGCUUUAAUUCAAUUUAGUUGUCCACCAUUUUUUCCUACAUUAUUUAAAUUCUACUCAUCUUAAUUUUUUAAGCAUUUAAUUUAAACAUGAUUCUUGCCGAGUUUCAGUUGGUGAUAUCUGAUUUUGCUUGACAGGGUAGUGUGCUUAUUAGAUAAAAGCAUUGUGAGUGCACAUGCUCUGAUGCAUUUAUUUUUCAUCUUUUCUAGACUCUAGAAUGUCAUGUCUCGUGAUAAUUGAGAUUAUCUAAUUUUGAAUUUUGUCAUUAAGUUAGGCCAUUUUUUUUAUAUAAUCUUGGACUGCGUUGGUCGUUCAACUUCUUCGUAAGGAAAGAAAAGAAGAAUACCCUAAUUGUAUUUUUUCUCUUAUGUAUAUUAUUAUUAUUAAGUCAUGUUUUAGGGAAAGAAAAGAAGAAUACCCCAAAUUAAAUUAGCAAAUUUUAAUGUCUAAUGAAAUUUGACUCCAUUUGAGAGAAUGAAAAUCUAUACUGUUUGCAAUUAAACCUUAUAUAGUUGAAUCCUGUUAUUGGUAGAAAAGGUGUUGUCCAACCAUGGUACGAUUUUCUUGAAGAAAUGAAUUUUGAUGAUGGAGAUGAAAUCUCUAUUUACUAUAGGUAUUAUGAAAAAAUUUGUGAUAUCAUAAUUAGGAGGCAGAAGGAUUGGGAGGAUACUGAGCAACUAGACUACCUUUAGUUCCAACAAACUCUAUUAAUGUUUACUUAUCCUAUUUUGUUGUUAAUCAACUUUGUUCUCAAUCAACAUUUUGCUAUUAA